ACGAACGCUGGCGGCGUGCCUAAUCCCUGCAAGUCGAGCGAAGUUUUUCUGGUGCUUGCACCGGAAAAACUUAGCGGCGAACGGGUGAGUAACACGUAAAGAACCUGCCUCAUAGACUGGGACAACUAUUGGAAACGAUAGCUAAUACCGGAUAAUAGCAUUAACUGCAUGGUUGAUGUUUAAAAGUUGGUUUUGCUAACACUAUGAGAUGGCUUUGCGGUGCAUUAGCUAGUUGGUGGGGUAAAGGCCUACCAAGGCGACGAUGCAUAGCCGACCUGAGAGGGUGAUCGGCCACACUGGGACUGAGACACGGCCCAGACUCCUACGGGAGGCAGCAGUAGGGAAUCUUCCGCAAUGGGCGAAAGCCUGACGGAGCAACGCCGCGUGAGUGAAGAAGGAUUUCGGUUCGUAAAGCUCUGUUGUUAGGGAAGAAUGAUUGUGUAGUAACUAUACACAGUAGAGACGGUACCUAACCAGAAAGCCACGGCUAACUACGUG
rnacentral:rRNA from 1 species